rnacentral:lncRNA from 1 species
AAAAGACCCUUUUUAGUAUCCUUUCGAAACCCUAAAGUUAGAUCUAGGGAUAAACCACCCAAAAAAGGUCGAGAUCGGCGAAAAAAAAGAAAAAGGAAGAAGAGAAAAAAGCCUUUGAUUUCUUUUCUCUCUUGCGAGGCCCUCAACGGAACUCCAAAGGGGUUCCGAGGCUUCUCAAAUCGAAGGUGGUUCUUGACGACGGCUCUUAACAGGUAAAAAUUUUAACUUUGUGUUUAUUCUUAUUUUUUCGAAAUAAAAAAGCAAAUUAAAUAAACUAUCUCGUUUUUUAAACUUCAUUUUUUUGUAUUUGAUUUCUUUUUUUCUUUUUGUUUACAAUCGUUUUCGGCUUUUAUAGCCAAACAUAUAUUACAAAAUAUACAUUUGCUUUUCUUUCUCUCUGUUUUCCUGCUUCUGUUUCUUUGCAUCUUGUUUAUGUUUUCUUUUUCCCUUUUUUGCAGGUGUUUGGGGCAGUUAACGGCGAUGGGAAACCACACCUUGCAAUUUCGGUGAAAUGAAGGUAAACCUCAGGCAACACGCCUGCUGACGUGGAAAGGAGCGACGGCAACUGGUGAAGUCUUAGAGGUGGCUAGAGUUUCUUGUUUAGUUUUUAGGUUAGGAAAUUGGGUAUUUAAGGUUUUAGGGUUGUAAAUAGACUUUUUAUUAAUGGACUUUUAUUAAUUUUGUCUAUUUUAUCAAGGCGGGAGAGAUUUGGAGCAUUACAUGUAUAAACUAUUAUUAUAUUCUCAACAAAUACUAACAAGCAAGUGCCUUUUCGAAAGGAG